CAUGCCUAAAAGUGAUGGAUAUCACUUGUGUCCACAAUUUCAUUGACGAGGACUGGCUACACAGAAUUUCAAGGUAAAAUCCUUAAGACUAAAGCUUCAGAAACUUCAAGAAAAAUCAGUUGAAGAUGAUGAUUAUGAUAAGGGUGAGUUUUGUUUUGUUUAUUAUUUCUUCUUUUCCCCAUAAUGUCCCAUUUCUCUUCUUCCUUGCUCACUUCUGCCUACUAUACCCAGAAUGAAUUGUGCAAUCUGUUCCUUUUAUCAGGAACAGUUGACUGUUUUACAGCACUGUUAUUUUGUGGAUUUCAAAGUCUUUUGUGAGCAUUGAUUCUUUGGGUUAUAAGAAAGACUUGAUUUUCUAGAAAUACUUGUACAAUAAAAGUCGUAUUAACUCAU